GACGAACGCUGGCGGCGUGCCUAAUACAUGCAAGUCGAGCGCAGUGGGGACGGGUGAGUAACACGUGGGUAACCUCCCAUCAGAGGGGAUAACACUUGGAAACAGGUGCUAAACCCAUACUGAUGGAUGGACCCGCGGUGCAUUAGCUAGUUGGUGAGGUAACGGCUCACCAAGGCCACGAUGAAUAGCCGAUCUGAGAGGGUGAUCGGCCACACUGGGACUGAGACACGGUCCAGACUCCUACGUGAGGCAGCAGUAGGGAAUCUUCGGCAAUGGACGAAAGCCUGACCGAGCAACGCCGCGUGAGUGAAGAAGGCUUUCGGAUCGUAAAGCUCUGUUGUUAGAGAAGCGGUAUCUAACCAGAAAGCAACGGCUAACUACGUGCCAGCAGCCGCGGUAAUAC
rnacentral:rRNA from 1 species